rnacentral:rRNA from 1 species
UACGGAGGGUCCAAGCGUUAUCCGGAAUCAUUGGGUUUAAAGGGUCCGUAGGCGGGUCUGUAAGUCAGUGGUGAAAUCUCCCGGCUCAACCGGGAAAUGGCCAUUGAUACUGCAGGUCUUGAAUUAUUGGGAAGUAACUAGAAUAUGUAGUGUAGCGGUGAAAUGCUUAGAGAUUACAUGGAAUACCGAUUGCGAAGGCAGGUCACUAACAACGCAUUGACGCUGAUGGACGAAAGCGUGGGGAGCGAACAGG